rnacentral:rRNA from 1 species
GGCUUAGAGUUUGAUCAUGGCUCAGAUUGAACGCUGGCGGCAGGCUUAACACAUGCAAGUCGAGCGGGGAAAGGUAGCUUGCUACUUUACCUAGCGGCGGACGGGUGAGUAAUGCUUAGGAAUCUGCCUAUUAGUGGGGGACAACAUCUCGAAAGGGAUGCUAAUACCGCAUACGUCCUACGGGAGAAAGCAGGGGACCUUCGGGCCUUGCGCUAAUAGAUGAGCCUAAGUCGGAUUAGCUAGUUGGUGGGGUAAAGGCCUACCAAGGCGACGAUCUGUAGCGGGUCUGAGAGGAUGAUCCGCCACACUGGGACUGAGACACGGCCCAGACUCCUACGGGAGGCAGCAGUGGGGAAUAUUGGACAAUGGGGGGAACCCUGAUCCAGCCAUGCCGCGUGUGUGAAGAAGGCCUUUUGGUUGUAAAGCACUUUAAGCGAGGAGGAGGCUACCGAGAUUAAUACUCUUGGAUAGUGGACGUUACUCGCAGAAUAAGCACCGGCUAACUCUGUGCCAGCAGCCGCGGUAAUACAGAGGGUGCAAGCGUUAAUCGGAUUUACUGGGCGUAAAGCGCGCGUAGGUGGCCAAUUAAGUCAAAUGUGAAAUCCCCGAGCUUAACUUGGGAAUUGCAUUCGAUACUGGUUGGCUAGAGUAUGGGAGAGGAUGGUAGAAUUCCAGGUGUAGCGGUGAAAUGCGUAGAGAUCUGGAGGAAUACCGAUGGCGAAGCAGCCAUCUGGCCUAAUACUGACACUGAGUGCGAAAGCAUGGGGAGCAAACAGGAUUAGAUACCCUGGUAGUCCAUGCCGUAAACGAUGUCUACUANNGUUGGGGNUUUGAGGCUUUAGUGGCGCAGCUAACGCCGAUAAGUAG